UUCUUGGUCAUUUAGAGGAAGUAAAGGUCGUAACAAGGUUUCCGUAGGUGAACCUGCGGAAGGAUCAUUAAAGAAAUUUAAUAAUUUUGAAAAUGGAUUUUUUUGUUUUGGCAAGAGCAUGAGAGCUUUUACUGGGCAAGAAGACAAGAGAUGGAGAGUCCAGCCGGGCCUGCGCUUAAGUGCGCGGUCUUGCUAGGCUUGUAAGUUUCUUUCUUGCUAUUCCAAACGGUGAGAGAUUUCUGUGCUUUUGUUAUAGGACAAUUAAAACCGUUUCAAUACAACACACUGUGGAGUUUUCAUAUCUUUGCAACUUUUUCUUUGGGCAUUCGAGCAAUCGGGGCCCAGAGGUAACAAACACAAACAAUUUUAUCUAUUCAUUAAAUUUUUGUCAAAAACAAGAAUUUUCGUAACUGGAAAUUUUAAAAUAUUAAAAACUUUCAACAACGGAUCUCUUGGUUCUCGCAUCGAUGAAGAACGCAGCGAAAUGCGAUACGUAAUGUGAAUUGCAGAAUUCCGUGAAUCAUCGAAUCUUUGAACGCACAUUGCGCCCCUUGGUAUUCCAGGGGGCAUGCCUGUUUGAGCGUCAUUUCCUUCUCAAACAUUCUGUUUGGUAGUGGGUGAUACUCUUUGGAGUUAACUUGAAAUUGCUGGCCUUUUCAUUGGAUGUUUUUUUUCCAAAGAGAGGUUUCUCUGCGUGCUUGAGGUAUAAUGCAAGUACGGUCGUUUUAGGUUUUACCAACUGCGGCUAAUCUUUUUUUAUACUGAGCGUAUUGGAACGUUAUCGAUAAGAAGAGAGCGUCUAGGCGAACAAUGUUCUUAAAGUUUGACCUCAAAUCAGAUAGGAGUACCCGCUGAACUUAAGCAUAUCAAUAAGCGGAGGAA
rnacentral:rRNA from 1 species